GUGAAGCGGCAACAGCUCAAAUUUGAAAUCUGGCGCCUUCGGUGCCCGAGUUGUAAUUUGUAGAGGGUAGCUCGAGCCCGCCCCCGUCUAAGUCCCCUGGAACGGGGCGUCGUAGAGGGUGAGAAUCCCGUAUGCGACGGGGUGGCGUGCUCGUGUGAGCUCCCUUCGACGAGUCGAGUUGUUUGGGAAUGCAGCUCUAAAUGGGAGGUAAAUUCCUUCUAAAGCUAAAUACCGGCCAGAGACCGAUAGCGCACAAGUAGAGUGAUCGAAAGAUGAAAAGCACUUUGGAAAGAGAGUUAAAAAGCACGUGAAAUUGUUGAAAGGGAAGCGCUCACGACCAGACUCGGGCGCGGCUGCUCAGCCGGUCUUCUGACCGGUGCAUCGGUCGCGCCCGGGCCAGCAUCGGUUCGGGCGGUCGGAUAAAGGUCUCGGGAACGUAGCUCCCCUCGGGGAGUGUUAUAGCCCGGGGCGCAAUGCGGCCUGCCCGGACCGAGGAACGCGUUCGCUAGGAUGCUGGCGUAAUGGUCGUUAGCGGCCCGUCUUGAAACACGGACCAAGGAGUCUACCAUCUGUGCGAGUAUUAGGGUGUCAAACCCUUGUGCGUAAUGAAAGUGAACGGAGGUGGGAACCCUCGGGUGCACCAUCGACCGAUCCAGAUGUCCUCGGACGGAUUUGAGUAAGAGCACCGCUGGUGGGACCCGAAAGAUGGUGAACUAUGCGCGGAUAGGGUGAAGCCAGAGGAAACUCUGGUGGAGGCUCGCAGCGGUUCUGACGUGCAAAUCGAUCGU
rnacentral:rRNA from 1 species